GUGGUCCGUAUCAGUCCCCUCGCGACAACAGGCUGUGAAUCCCGCCAGGCCCGGAAGGGAGCAACGGUAGCAGCUGCGUUGGGCGCCGGGGUGUGGCGGGUGCGGGCCACCACCCUUUU
rnacentral:SRP_RNA from 1 species